GACGAACCGAGCGAACGUUGUUCGGAAUCACUGGGCUUAAAGGGCGCGUAGGCGGGUGCUCAAGUCUGUGGUGAAAUCCUCCGGCUCAACCGGAGAACGGCCAUGGAUACUGGGUGCCUCGAGGGUGAUAGGGGUAUGCGGAACUAUCGGUGGAGCGGUGAAAUGAGUUGAUAUCGAUAGGAACUCCGGUGGCGAAGGCGGCAUACUGGAUCACUUCUGACGCUGAGGCGCGAAAGCCAGGGGAGCGAACGGG
rnacentral:rRNA from 1 species